GAUGAACGCUGGCGGCGUGCCUAAUACAUGCAAGUCGAGCGAACAGACGAGGAGCUCGCUCUUCUGACGUUAGCGACGGACGGGUAAGUAAUACGUGGUUAACCUACCUCUAAGACUGGGGUAAGUUCGGGAAACCGGAGCUACUACCGGGUAAUAUAUUGAACCGGAUGGUUCAAUAGUGAAAGACGGUUUUGAUGAGACUUAUAGCUGUAACCGCGCUGCUGUAGUUAGUUGGUAAGGUAACGGCUUACCAAGGCAACGAUGCGUAGCCGACCUGAGAGGGUGAUCGGCCACACUGGAACUGAGAGACGGCCCAGACUCUGACGGGAGGCAGAAGUAGGGAAUCUUCCGCAAUGGGCGAAAGCUUGACGGAGCAACGCCGCGUGAGUGAUGAAGGUCUUCGGGUCGUAAAACUCUGUUAUUAUGGAAGAACAAAUGUGUAAGUAACUAUGCACGUCUUGACGGUACCUAAACAGAAAGCCACGGCUAACUACGUG
rnacentral:rRNA from 1 species